rnacentral:sRNA from 1 species
UGCCAUUCCAAUUGCUACAAGUUCUUUGCCGUUCAAUCUUGCCCCAGUUAAAGCCA